AUGAGUGCUUUAGGCCGUCCACAAGAUAUGUUUUCGGAUACUGCCAUACAAUUACAACCUAUCUUUGCUCAAUGGGUACAAAAUAUCCAUGCUACUGCGCCUGGCGUAACAGCUCCUGGUGCAACAACAAGUACUAGCUUAACGUGGGGAGGCGGCGAGUUAGUAGCAGUAGGUGGCAAAGUGGCUUUGUUACCUAUUCCAUUAGGAACCGCAGAUUUUUUAGUCCAUCACAUUCAUGCAUUUACCAUACAUGUGACUGUAUUAAUACUUUUGAAAGGUGUUUUAUUUGCUCGGAGUUCCUGUUUGAUACCCGAUAAAGCAAAUCUAGGUUUUCGCUUUCCUUGCGAUGGGCCUGGCCGAGGGGGAACAUGUCAAGUAUCCGCCUGGGAUCAUGUUUUCUUAGGUUUAUUCUGGAUGUACAAUGCAAUUUCGGUAGUCAUUUUCCAUUUCAGUUGGAAAAUGCAGUCGGAUGUUUGGGGUACUAUAAGUGAUCAAAGGGUGGUAACUCAUAUUACAGGGGGAAACUUUGCACAGAGUUCCAUUACGAUUAAUGGGUGGCUUCGAGAUUUCUUGUGGGCACAGGCAUCGCAAGUCAUCCAGUCUUAUGGUUCUUCAUUAUCUGCAUAUGGUCUUUUUUUUCUUAGGUGCUCAUUUUGUCUGGGCCUUCAGUUUAAUUUUUUUAUUCAGCGGCUGUGGUUAUUGGCAAGAACUCAUUGA
rnacentral:rRNA from 1 species